CCAGUUGCACUGUCAGAAUAAAAUUGUUAAUUUGUGUAAAAAACAUUGAACGACAACUGUUUAGUCAAAUGUGAGACGUACGAAUUCUAGGAAUUUUUUAUUAGCCAUAAAAUGUUAAAAUUAUGUUGAAGCCAUUAUACAAUUAAUGCUGGAAAAAAUCAUUAGACGUAUUGGGAACUGUUGAAAUGGUGUGAGUAUGUUUUGCAGUUAAUAUGUAUAAGCAACAUUUAGAAAAUUGGAACGUCGACUACAUAAAUCACUACAAGCAUGCGUAUGCGAUUCAACUACAAAUCGUUUUUAAAGAGCUCCAUAAAGAUACCGCCCGAUCGAUGGAUCGUUUCACGCCAAAAUAUUUUUGUGUUCACAUAAAUUAUAAUUGUAUGAGUGGAGCAGAAAUCACUGCAAGAUUCCCCCACGUAAGCUUCGGUCUCUCUCGUGGUCCCGCAGUCUCUUUUUAUGCCCCACUUGGUUUUCAAUUUAUUUCAAUUUUAAUUUAUUUUCCUUUAUUUAUUUUUGCUUUUCUUCUGCUUAUUUUCGCUUACUAGUUGCUUGCUAAAGUGUCUCAGUUGUGUUCUGCGGCUUAAUAAAGUAUCUCAUGAUUAUAGCCACAAACCAGCGACAGACAACCUAAGCAAUAACAACCACAAUUCAGUUUACGAUUUGCGAGUAUGUGCUCUAAUAUCGUUGCUUAUUACUUCUCGGAUUUACCUUAGGGGACUAUAUGCCGUCAUUAUGAAUUUUAUUGGUAUUAACUUGUUUAUACGAUAAUAAGCUGAAAAAUUAUGCGAUAAACACAUAAUUGGAAAACACAGGAAGUCUGCAUAAAGAAGUCUGCAACACAUCUGAUCUAUACGUGCAGGAGAUCCUCUCGAAGUGUUUUGUAAAUUGAAAGAAACACAUCAAGAAUUGAUUUUAAAAGUUGCUUAUUAGUUUCUUUUAUUUUUACACUUUUCUUACUUAAAUGAACUCGUUGAUCUGUAACCACUAGACAAUGAAAAUAAACUAAAAUUGUACUCUU